CGAAGGCCAAGUAUCACAGCAUAGUGAAAGAAAAAUCUACAAACUUGUCUUUUGUUUUUGUAGGCCACGGAUCUACAACAAAUUAUCUCCCACUACACUCUGUUUAGAAAAGCAGAUAACCUUUUUUUCUCAAGGCAAAGCUUGCAGGUUUCAACCAAAGAACUCAACACUUCAAUUAACUUGGAAUGGAGAUAUUACUAGCUAGUGUACGUGCUCCUAGCUAAUUAACCUAGCUCCAUCCUUGCAUCUACGAGCAUGCAAAUAACCACAUAACAGCGCACAGGGCACACCGAGCAACUGUCAAACAGCUCCUGCAUGCCAUGCAUUCGUCGCCAAAUUAAGAAGAUCGAGGGAGAAACACACGAAGCGGCGGGAGAUUAUUACAAACAUAAUACUAGGAGUAGAUGCCUGCUGCGGCCAACACAUAGCUAGAGAAACUCUAGAUCUAGAGUAGUACAGUACCAUGCCUGCUGCUAAUGCAUACGCAGUACAUACCGUGCCAUCCCUUGCUGCUAAUACAUAGCUCAGAUCGAACCACCAAACACAGGCAACGCAGCACUACAUAUAUACUACAGCAGCUUGCACACCUUGAACCAUGAUCUUGACGUGCGAUGGAGGUGGCACGCACCUCAGACGGCCGCGCCGCCUGCGCCUUCCGGCUGGCCGCCAGCCCCGUGGUUGCCGCCGUCGCCUCGGCAAGCCUGAACCACCCUCACAAAGAUCUUGACGAUGCAGAGGAGGAUCACCCCCGUGAGCACGACAGCAGGGAUGAACAGCACACAGGCAAAAAAGCCAUCCCAAAAACCUUUCUCGUACGGCGUCAUCGCUAGAGGAGGAGGUGGAGAUGAGUGGAGAGUGCGACACAGAGCUGAACUUGAACAAAGACCAGGCCGGGGUGGGAGAAAGGAGAUGGAGGGGUAUAAAGACAGCGGGCUAUCUCUCUCUCUCUCUCUCUCUCUCACACACACACACACACACACACACACACACACACACACACACACACACACACACACACACAAGCCAGGAUGGAGGAUGGUUUUGCAGAGUGGCAAGGGAAGAUGAGAUUCAUCGGGUGACCGGAGCAGACAUGGUCAUGGACCACGUUUCGUGUAUCCGGAAAGCCGCGUAAAAGCCUCAGAGGUUGUAGUUUAGCUCAGACUAGCAAGCUGUGAAAAAGAAAGAGGAAACUGCAGUAAAUAAACUCAGUGAAGCAUGCAUGUGAGAUACCACACGGUGCGAGCCCAUGCCGCCGGCUGCCGAGCCUGGCAUGCUUUGCUACAGCUGAUUCAAAACCGUGGGAGCCAACAAAGAGAAAAACGCGUUGCACAAUCGAGACAUGUCGCUGAUAAGUUGGCCAACCACUGUGUCUUCCUCAUCUUUACUGCUUGGGAUUACACGCGCGUUCCGGCAAAGCAGAACGAGGCAGUGUGCCCAUCUGCUCAGUCUUCACAAGGCAUGCAGUUUUUGGGAGUUCGGUCCAUCACAUCUAAUUAACGAUAAAGCUAAAAAAUCUGAUGUCAGAUUUUUAGCCAUCUUAGGAGCGUGCUGCUUGUCAUUGGAUUAGCGCACGAAUCUUGAAGUGGGGGACAAUAAACACGUUAGCAUAGAAAAACGUUCGUUGAAAUUGAGCGGCGGCACAAACACAGUCUUCUCUCCCGAUGCUUUUUUGAAUCCCCAUCCCCAUUUUUCCUGACACUGCCCCAUCUCGCUUCUUCCAUCCCUGCUCGCCGGCGCGGCGAGGGCGGCCUCGCCUUCUCCAGGGUCACCGUCCAUUUCUCUAGUCCCCCUGCUCAUCGGUACACUAAAGGUGGCCUCACCUUCGCAGGGGCACGAGCGCGGCAAGCCCGCUCAAGCCGAGGAAACGUACAAAUGACCGCGCAUGCCCCAGUUGAGGAAGUGGACGAUAGCUUGAAGCGGGGGACAACAAACACGUCAGCACGGAGAAACGUUUGCUGAAAUUGAGCGGUGACACAAACGCAAUAUACUUCUCUGAAUCCUCAUCCCCAUUUUCCCGACGCUGCCAAUCUCGCUUCCUCCCUCUUGCUCGCCGGCACGGCGAGGGCGGCCUCGCCUUCUCCAGGAUCGCCGCCCAUUUCUCUAGCCCCCUGCUCACUGGUGCAGUGAGGGCGGCCUCACCUUCGCAAGGGGCGUGAGCGCGGCGAACCCGGUCGAUCUGAGGAAACGUACAAUGACCGCAUGUGCCCCAAUUGGAGGAGGUGGACGGGAGGCCACGAUGCUAGCCCCCGAGAUGCAACGACUCAAGGACCUCGCCAGCACCAAGUCGAUGUGCGGCAAGAUCCCAUCGAGCAUGUUAGGGGCAACGAGGCUGAGGAGGGGAGCUGGAGCGCGAUACCUUGGCCUCCCCUAUCUAUCCACCGCCUUAGGAAGAUCGACCUCCUAUAUCUCGUGGACAAGGUUGCAGGGAAGCGUCCCUUGGCAGGUGUUGGAAAUAUGCCCUAGAGGCAAUAAUAAAUUAGUUAUUAUUAUAUUUCCUUGUUCAUGAUAUUCGUUUAUUAUCCAUGCUAGAAUUGUAUUGAUAGGAAACUCAGAUACAUGUGUGGAUACAUAGACAACACCAUGUCCCUAGUAAGCCUCUAGUUGACUAGCUCGUUGAUCAAUAGAUGGUUACGGUUUCCUGACCAUGGACAUUGGAUGUCAUUGAUAACGGGAUCACAUCAUUAGAAGAAUGAUGUGAUGGACAAGACCCAAUCCUAAGCAUAGCACAAGAUAAUGUAGUUCGCAUGCUAAAGCUUUUCUAAUGUCAAGUAUCAUUUCCUUAGACCAUGAGAUUGUGCAACUCCCGGAUACCGUAGGAAUACUUUGGGUGUGCCAAACGUCACAACGUAACUGUGUGGCUAUAAAGGUGCACUACGGGUAUCUCCGAAAGUGUCUGUUGGGUUGGCACGAAUCGAGACUGGGAUUUGUCACUCCGUGUGACGGAGAGGUAUCUCUGGGCCCACUCGGUAGGACAUCAUCAUAAUGUGCACAAUGUGAUCAAGGAGUUGAUCACGGGAUGAUGUGUUACGAAACGAGUAAAGAGACUUGCGGGUAACGAGAUUGAACAAGGUAUCGGGAUACCGACGAUCGAAUCUCGGGCAAGUACAAUACCGCUAGACAAAGGGAAUUGUAUACGAGAUUGAUCGAAUCGUCGACAUCGUGGUUCAUCCGAUGAGAUCAUCGUGGAACAUGUGGGAACCAACAUGGGUAUCCAGAUCCCGCUGUUAGUUAUUGAUCGGAGGACGUCUCGGUCAUGUCUGCAUGGUUCCCGAACCCGUAGGGUCUACACACUUAAGGUUCGAUGACGCUAGGGUUAUAAAGGAAGUUUGUAUGUGGUUACCGAAUGUUGUUCGGAGUCCCGGAUGAGAUCCCGGACGUCACGAGGAGUUCCGGAAUGGUCCGGAGGUAAAGAUUUAUAUAUGGGAAGUCCUGUUUUGGUCACCGGAAAAGUUUCGGGUUUUAUCGGUAACGUACCGGGACCACCAGGAGGGUCCCGGGGGUCCACCAAGUGGGGCCACCGGCCCCGGAGGGCUGCAUGGGCCAAGUGUUGGAGGGGACCAGCCCCAGGUGGGCUGGUGUGCCCUCCCACAAGGGCCCAAGGCACCUAAGGGGAGGAAGGGGGCAAACCCUAAGGGCAGAUGGGCCUUAGGGCCCAUGCCUGGUGCGCCUCCCUCUCCCCCUCCCCUUGGCCACCCCACCAGAUGGGAUCUGGGCUGGCCGCUGCCCCUAGGGUGGAACCCUAGGUGGGGGCGCAGCCCCCCCUCUCCCCCUAUAUAUAGUGGAUGCAAAGGAGCACCCCAUAGACGAAGUUUCUUCUCUUGUUGGCGCAACCCUACCUCUCUUUCUCCUCAUAUCUCGCGGUGCUUGGCGAAGCCCUGCUGGAUCACCAUGCUCCUCCACCACCACCACGCCGUUGUGCUGCUGCUGGAUGGAGUCUUCCUCAACCUCUCCCUCUCUCCUUGCUGGAUCAAGGCAUGGGAGACGUCACCGGGCUGUACGUGUGUUGAACGCGGAGGUGCCGCCCGUUCGGCACUAGGAUCUCCGGUGAUUUGGAUCACGACGAGUACGACUCAUUCAACCUCGUUCUCUUGAACGCUUCCGCUUAGCGAUCUACAAGGGUAUGUAGAUGCACUCUCCUUCCCCUCGUUGCUGGUUUCUCCAUAGAUAGAUCUUGGUGACACGUAGGAAAAUUUUAAAUUUCUGCUACGUUCCUCAAUAGUGGCAUCAUGAGCUAGGUCUAUGCGUAGUUUCUAUGCACGAGUAGAACACAAAGUAGUUGUGGGCAUUGAUUUUGUUCAAUAUGCUUACCGUUACUAGUCCAAUCUUGAUUCGGCGGCAUUGUGGGAUGAAGCGGCCCGGACCGACCUUACACGUACUCUUACGUGAGACUGGUUCCACCGACUGACAUGCACUAGUUGCAUAAGGUGGCUAGCGGGUGUCUGUCUCUCCCACUUUUGUCGGAUCGGAUUCGAUGAAAAGGGUCCUUAUGAAGGGUAAAUAGCAAUUGGCAUAUCACGUUGUGGUUUUUGCGUAGGUAAGAAACGUUCUUGCUAGAAACCCAUAGCAGCCACGUAAAACAUGCAAACAACAAUUAGAGGGCGUCUAACUUGUUUUUGCAGGGUAUGCUAUGUGAUGUGAUAUGGCCAAAAAGAAUGUGAUGAAUGAUAUGUGAUAUAUGAGAUUGAUCAUGUUCUUGUAAUAGGAAUCACGACUUGCAUGUCGAUGAGUAUGACAACCGGCAGGAGCCAUAGGAGUUGUCUUUAUUUAUUAUAUGACCUGCGUGUCAUUGAACAACGCCAUGUAAUUACUUUACUUUAUUGUUAACCGGUAGCCAUAGUAGUAGAAGUAAUAAGUUGGCGAGACAACUUCAUGAAGACACAAUGAUGGAGAUCAUGGUGUCAUGCCGGUGACGAUGAUGAUCAUGGAGCCCUGAAGAUGGAGAUCAAAAGGAGCAAUAUGAUAUUAUCCAUAUCAUGUCAUUAUUUGAUUGCAUGUGAUGUUUAUCAUGUUUAUACAUCUUAUUUGCUUAGAACGAUGGUAGCUUAAAUAAGAUGAUCCCUCACUAAAAUUUCAAGAGAAGUGUUCUCCCUAACUGUGCACCAUUGCGAAAGUUCGUCGUUUCGAAGCACCACGUGGUGAUGGGGUGUGAUAGAUUCUUACGUUCGAAUACAACGGGUGUUGACGAGCCUAGCAUGUACAGACAUGGCCUCGGAACACAUGCGAAACACUUAGGUUAACUUGACGAGCCUAGCAUGUACAGACAUGGCCUCGGAACACAAGAGACCGAAAGGACAAGCAUGAGUUGUAUGGUAGAUACGAUCAACAUGAAGAUGUUCACCGAUGUUGACUAGUCCGUCUCACGUGAUGAUCGGACACGGCCUAGUUGUCUCGGAUCAUGUAAUCACUUAGAUGACUGGAGGGAUGUCUAUCUGAGUGGGAGUUCAUAAGAUGAACUUAAUUAUCCUGAACAUAGUCAAAAGGUCUUUGCAAAUUAUGUCGUAGCUCGCGCUUCAGUUCUACUGUUUAGAUAUGUUCCUAGAGAAAAAUUAGUUGAAAGUUGAUAGUAGCAUUUAUGCAGACAGUAGAAGGCUUAUGUCCUUAAUGCACCGCUCAGUGUGCUGAACCUCGAACAUCGUCUGUGGAUGUUGCGAACAUCUGACAUACACGUUUUGAUGACUACAUGAUAGUUCAGUGCGUAAUGCUAAAUGGUUUAGAAUUGAGGCACCAAAGACGUUUUUGAAACAUCGCAGAACAUAUGAGAUGUUCCAAGGACUGAAAUUGGGAUUUCAGGCUCGUGCCCACGUCAAGAGGUAUAAGACCUCCGACGAUUUUCUUAGCCUGCAUAAUAAGGGAGAAAAGCUCAAUCUUGAGCUUGUGCUCAGAUUGUCUGAGUACAACAAUCGCUUGAAUCGAGUGGGAGUUGAUCUUCCAGAUGAAAUAGUGAUGGUUCUCCGAAGUCAUUACCACCAAGCUGCUAGAGCAUCGUUAUGAACUAUAAUAUAUCAGGGACAUAUAUGAUGAUCCUUGAGAUAUUCGCGAUGUUUGACACCACAAAAGUAGAAAUUAAGAAGGAGCAUCAAUUUUUGAUGGUUGGUGAAACCACUAGUUUCAAGAAGGGCAAGGGCAAGAAGGGAUACUUCAUGAAACGGCAAAUCAGCUGCUGUUCUAGUGAAGAAACCCAAAGUUGAACCCAAGCCCGAGACUAAGUGCUUCUGUAAUAAGGGGAACAGUCACUGAAGCAGAACCACCCUAGAUACUUGGUAGAUGAGAAGGCUGGCAAGGUCGACAGAAGUAUAUUGGAUAUGCAUUAUAAUGUGUACUUUACUAGUACUCCUAGUAGCACCAGGGUAUUAGAUACUGGUUCGAUUGCUAAGUGUUAGUAACUCGAAACAAAAGGCUACGGAAUAAACGGAGACUAGCUAAAAGGUGAGAUGACGAUAUGUGUUGGAAGUAUUUCUAAGGUUGAUCAAACAUCGCACGCUCCCUCUACCAUCGAGAUUGGUGUUUGCGUUGAGCAUAGACAUGAUUGGAUCAUGUCUAUCGCAAUACGAUUAUUCAUUUAAGGAGAAUAAUGGUUACUCUGUUUAUUUGAAUAAUACCUUCAAUGGUCUUGCACCUAAAAUGAAUGUUUUUUUUGAAUCUCGAUCGUAGUGAUACACAUGUUCAUGCCAAAAGAUAUAAGAUAGUAAUGAUAGUACCACCUACUUGUGGCACUGCCAUGUAAGUCAUAUCGGUAUAAAACGCAUGAAGAAGCUCCAUGUUGAUGGAUCUUUGGGCUCACUCGUUUUUGAAAUUUUUUGAGACAUGCGAACCAUGUCUAUUGGUGUAUAUGCAUGAAGAAACUCCAUGCAAAUGGAUCGUUUGGACUCACUUGAUUUUGAAUCACUUGAGACAUGCAAAUCAUACCACAUGGGCAAGAUGACUAAAAGCCUCGUUUUCAGUAAAAUGGAACUAGAAAGCAACUUGUUGGAAGUAAUACAUUUUGAUGUGUGCAGUCCAAUGAGUCCCGAGGCGUGUAGUGGAUAUCGUUAUGUUCUUACUUCACAGAUGAUUUGAGUAGAUGUUGAGUACAUUUACUUGAUGAAUCACGAGUCUGAAUUAUUGAAAGGUUCAAGUAAUUUCAGGGAGAAGUUGAAAGAUCGUCGUGACAAGAGGAUAAAAUAUCUAUGAUAUGAUCAUAGAGAUGAAUAUCUGAAUUACGAGUUUGGCACAGAAUUAAGACAUUGUGGAAAUUGUUUCACAACUAAUACAGCCUGGAACACCAUAGUGUGAUGGUGUGUCCGAACAUCAUAACUGCACCCUAUUGGAUAUGAUGCAUACCAUGAUGUCUUUUAUCGAAUUACCACGAUAGUUUAUGGGUUAGGCAUUAGAGACAACCACAUUCACUUUAAAUAGGGCACCACGUAAUUCCGAUGAGAUGACACCAUAUGAACUAUUGUUUAGAGAAACCUAAGCUGUCAUUUCUUAAAAGUUUGGGGCUGCGACGCUUAUGUGAAGAAGUUUCAGGCUGAUAAGCUCGAACCCAAAGCGGAUAAAUGCAUCUUCAUAGGACACCCAAAACAGUUGGGUAUACCUCCUGUCUCAGAUUCGAAAACAAUAAGGGAUUGUUUCUAGAAUCGGGUCCUUUCUCGAGGAAAAGUUUCUCUCGAAAGAAUUGAGUGGGAGGAUGUUGGAGACUUGAUGAGGUUAUUGAACCGUCUCUUCAACUAGUGUGUGGCAGGGCAUAGGGAGUUGUUCCUGUGCCACCUACACCAAUUGAAGUGAAAGCUUAUUAUAGUGAUCAUGAAACUUCAGAUGAAGUCACUACCAAACCUCAUAGGACGACAAGGAUGCGUACUACUUCAGAGUGGUACGUAAUCCUGUCUUGGAAGUCAUGUUGCUAGACAACAAUGAACCUACGAGCUAUGGAGAAGCGAUGGUGGGCCCGGAUUCUGAUAAAUGGCUCGAGGCCAUAAAAUCCGAGAGAGGAUCCAUGUACGAAAACAAAGUGUAGACUUUGGCAGAACGACUCGAUGGUCGUAAGGCUGUUGAGUACAGAUGGAUUUUAAAAGGAAGACGGACAAUGAUGGUAAAUGUCACCAUUAAGAAAGCUCGACUUGUCGUUAAGAUGUUUCUCGACAAGUUCAAGGAGUUGACUACAAUGAGACUUUCUCACUCGUAGUGAUGCUAAGAGUCUGUUGGAAUUAUAUUAGCGAUUACUGCAUUAUUUAUGAAAUCUUGCAGAUAGGAUGUCAAAACAUUGUUUCCUCGACGAUUUUCUUGAUGAAAGGCUGUAUGUGAUACAACCGGAAGGUUUUGUCAAUCCUAAAAGAUGCUAAUAAGUAUGCAAAGCUCCAGCAAUCCUUCUAAGGACUGGAGUAAGCAUCUCGGAGUUGGAAUGUAUGCUUUGAUGAGAUGAUCAAAGAUUUUGGGUGUAUACAAAGUUUAUGAGAAACUUGUAUUUCCAAAGAAGUGAGUGGGAGCACUAUAGAAUUUCUGAUGAAUAUAUGUUGUUGACAUAUUGUUGAUCAGAAAUGACGUAGAAUUUCUGAAAAGCAUAUAGGGUUAUUUGGAAAGUGUUUUUCAAUGGAAAGCCUGGAUUAAGCUACUUGAACAUUGAGCAUCAAAGAUCUAUAAGGAUAGAUCAAAACGCUUAAUGGUACUUUCAAAUGAGCACAUACCUUGACAUGAUCUUGAAGGUGUUCAAGAUGGAUCAGUCAAAGAAGGAGUUCUUGCCUGAGUUGUAAGGUAUGAAGUUAAGACUUAAAGCUCGACCACGGCAGAAGAAAGAGGAAGGACGAAGGUCGUCCCCUAUGCUUUUGUCAUAGGCUCCAUACAAUAUGCUAUGCUGUGUACCGCACCUGAAGUGUGCCUUGCCAUGAGUCAGUCAAGGGGUACAAGAGUGAUCCAAGAAUGGAUCACAGGACAGCGGUCAAAGUUAUCCUUAGUAACUAGUGGACUAAGGAAUUUUCUCGAUUAUGGAGGUGGUGAAAGAGUUCGUCGUAAAGGGUUACACCGAUGCAAACUUUGACACUAAUCCAGAUUAUUCUGAGUAGUAAACUGGAUUCAUAUAGUAGAACAUUUAUUUGGAAUAGCUCCAAAUAGAACGUGGUAGCUGCAUCUGGGAGAUGACAUAGAGAUUUGUAAAGCACACACGGAUCUGAAAGAUUCAGACCCGUUGACUAUAACAUCUCUCACAAGCAUAACAUGAUCCAACCCAGAACUCAUCGAGUGUUAAUCAUAUGGUAAUGUGAACUAGAUUAUUGACUCUAGUAAACUCUUUGGGUGUUAGUCACAUGGGGAUGAAACCUUGAGUGUUAAUCACAUAGCGAUGUGAACUGGAUUAUUGACUCUAGUGCAAGUGGGAGACUGUUGGAAAUAUGCCCUAGAGGCAAUAAUAAAUUAGUUAUUAUUAUAUUUCCUUGUUCAUGAUAAUCGUUUAUUAUCCAUGCUAGAAUUGUAUUGAUAGGAAACUCAGAUACAUGUGUGGAUACAUAGACAACACCAUGUCCCUAGUAAGCCUCUAGUUGACUAGCUCGUUGAUCAAUAGAUGGUUACGGUUUCCUGACCAUGGACAUUGGAUGUCAUUGAUAACGGGAUCACAUCAUUAGAAGAAUGAUGUGAUGGACAAGACCCAAUCCUAAGCAUAGCACAAGAUCGUGUAGUUCGCAUGCUAAAGCUUUUCUAAUGUCAAGUAUCAUUUCCUUAGACCAUGAGAUUGUGCAACUCCCGGAUACCGUAGGAAUACUUUGGGUGUGCCAAACGUCACAACGUAACUGGGUGGCUAUAAAGGUGCACUACGGGUAUCUCCGAAAGUGUCUGUUGGGUUGGCACGAAUCGAGACUGGGAUUUGUCACUCCGUGUGACGGAGAGGUAUCUCUGGGCCCACUCGGUAGGACAUAAUCAUAAUGUGCACAAUGUGAUCAAGUAGUUGAUCACGGGAUGAUGUGUUACGGAACGAGUAAAGAGACUUGCCGGUAACGAGAUUGAACAAGGUAUCGGGAUACCGACGAUCGAAUCUCGGGCAAGUACAAUACCGCUAGACAAAUGGAAUUAUAUACGGGAUUGAUCGAAUCGUCGACAUCGUGGUUCAUCCGAUGAGAUCAUCGUGGAACAUGUGGGAACCAACAUGGGUAUCCAGAUCCCGCUGUUGGUUAUUGAUCAAAGGACGUCUCGGUCAUGUCUGCAUGGUUCCCGAACCCAUAGUGUCUACACACUUAAGGUUCGAUGACGCUAGGGUUAUAAAGAAAGUUUGUAUGUGGUUACCGAAUGUUGUUCGGAGUCCCGGAUGAGAUCCCGGACAUCACGAGGAGUUCCGGAAUGGUCCGGAGGUAAAGAUUUAUAUAUGGGAAGUCCUGUUUUGGUCACCGGAAAAGUUUCGGGUUUUAUCGGUAACGUACCGGGACCACCAGGAGGGUCCCGGGGGUCCACCAAGUGGGGCCACCGGCCCCGGAGGGCUGCAUGGGCCAAGUGUGGGAGGGGACCAGCCCCAGGUGGGCUGGUGCGCCCCCCCACAAGGGCCCACGUCGCCUAAGGGGAGGAAGGGGGCAAACCCUAAGGGCAGAUGGGCCUUAGGGCCCAUGCCUGGUGCGCCUCCCUCUCCCCCUCCCCUUGGCCGCCCCACCAGAUGGGAUCUGGGCUGGCCUCCGCCCCUAGGGUGGAACCCUAGGUGGGGGCGCAGCCCCCCCUCUCCCCCUAUAUAUAGUGGAGGCAAAGGAGCAGCCCAUAGACGAAGUUUCUUCUCUUGUUGGCGCAGCCCUACCUCUCUUUCUCCUCAUAUCUCGUGGUGCUUGGCGAAGCCCUGCUGGAUCACCAUGCUCCUCCACCACCACCACGCCGUUGUGUUGCUGCUGGAUGGAGUCUUCCUCAACCUCUCCCUCUCUCCUUGCUGGAUCAAGGCAUGGGAGACGUCACCGGGCUGUACGUGUGUUGAACGCGGAGGUGCCGUCCGUUCGGCACUAGGAUCUCCGGUGAUUUGGAUCAUGACGAGUACGACUCCUUCAACCCCGUUCUCUUGAACGCUUCCGCUUAGCAAUCUACAAGGGUAUGUAGAUGCACUCUCCUUCCCCUCGUUGCUGGUUUCUCCAUAGAUAGAUCUUGGUAACACGUAGGAAAAUUUUGAAUUUCUGCUAUGUUCCCCAACAGCAGGGGCGUUUCAUGCAGGUCAACCCUUGCCAAGGCUGUGCUCACCUCUUUGGCAACCUACCAUAUCACCACCUUAGUCCCUCAUGUGAGCACGAUUUGUGCUUUCGAGAAGAUCUUGUUGGCCUUCCUUUGGGCUAGCUCUGACAAGAUUUCUGGUGGCCAAUGCAAAGUGAGCUGGAGCUUGGUAUGUAGACCAAAGAGGUUUUGUGGGUCGGGAGUGCUCGACCUCGGCAAAUAUGCUUGAGCUCUGCACUUGAGAUGGGCUUGGUAUGAGUGGAAGGAGCCUCAUAUAGCUUGGGUCAGUCUGGGAAAACCUUGCGACAUCAUUUACAUGGAUCUCUUUUACGCGGCUACCACCAUAACCAUUGGGAACAACUCCAUGGCCAAGUUCUUGCACUUGUUGUGGCUUAAUGCAUGGGUGGAAACCUAAGGAUGUUGUUCCCUCCAUAUUCCUCAUCUCAAAGAGAAGAAUUCAACGGUGCAUGCCCUAUGAGACCUCGCUUGGAUUGAUAGGAUCGACAUAUCAAGUGGUCUCUACAUCAACCAUUUUGAGCAGUUCUACACUUUAUGGCCAAAGCUUGGGGUGAGGGCUUUUGGAGGCCGAGCUUUACGGAGCUCGUUUUCAAAAUACAAAUUUCCACAAGGUGAAAAAAUUUGAAAUUGUUUGUAUACACUUUCACACAUGUGUAUUGCGUCUGUGCAAAAAUUCAAAACCAAAUACUUUCACACGUGGCGUACAGAAAAAAGACAAAUACAUAUUUCUAGAAUGGGCCAAUAUUUUUUGUUGUUGGGCCGGAUUUUUGUUUUUUUGUACAGCCUACAAAUCACAACAAAUUCAAAAAAAAUUCUUACACGUUCGUGCGGAAAUCUAUUAAGUUACCGUGGACUUUUGUUUUGAAUUUUUCUGAAACUUUAAAAUAUAAAUUUUGAUUUUUUUUCAAAAUACUGAGCUCCCUGGAGCUCAGCCUCCGUUGGCAUUUUCCGAAAAGCUUGAGCUUAUACAACUCCAGGAGGAUGUUCUCGAAGCUAUUACUUGGAACCUCACCACCAACAGGGUGUAUUCGGCGGCCGCCACAUAUAAGGUGCAAUUCGAGGGGCCAUCUCCACCAUCAUAGUGUCGGCGGGUUGGGGCACUUGGGCACCACCCAAGUGCAAAUCCUUUGCGUGGCUUGUCAUCAAGAACCGAGUUUAAAUAACGUACCGCCUUCAGAACUGGGGCUGGCCCAACUAUGGCCUCAGCCAGCUUUGCAAAAGAGAGUCAGAGUCCGCAACACACAUUCUCCAUAUACUCCCUCCGACUUUGGUCGGCCAUGAAGUGUUGGCUUGAUGCUCCGAAGUUGGAUAUUGCAAGCUAGAAAGGCAUCCGCACGGUCAAAGCUUGGUGGGCAGCGACGGUUUUUCGACAUGGCCACAUGAGAAAGGCCAUCUCAUUGCUUCUCAUGCUUGUCAAUUGGGAGGUGUGGAAGGAAAGAAAUGUGAGAGUUUUUCGCAACAAAUCGAUGAUGCCCACUACCCUCAUCGAUGACAUCAAAGUGGAAGCUAGGUGUUGGGUCAUCAUGUGGGCGACACAUUUGAGUUCUUUGAUGCCGUGAGGGUAGGCGUUUUCUCUUUACCAUUUGUGGAGGUAUAAUGUACCUGGUUGAACUUUGUUGAUUUGCCCUCCCUUCUUUAUUAAUGAGCUUAGGCAAAGCUUUUGCCCCUGUUUACAAAAAUAUAUUUUUGCCAUGGCAAAUCCUAAGUUUGCCAUCUUCUCUCCACAAGAAUAAAAUGCAUAAUUUGGCAAUUUCAUGAUUAAAAAUUCAAAAAAUAAUCAAUGUGUUUUUGUUAGAUAGCAAACAUGUAAAUUUGCUGUUUUUUUCAACCAUGGCAAACUAUGUGCAUAUCCUUGUUGCCAUGUUAUUCUAGAGAACAUGGCAAUUAUCAUAUGUUAUUAUUACUUGUGCAUCGCAAAAUAAAGAGAAAACGUUCUCACACAAAACAUGCACUUUUUUUUUGAAAACGACAUGGCAUUUUUUUGGGAUUUGAAGUUCUCCGUUCCAUAAAUAUGUAAAUGAAUUUGGUACGAGACGACUCCGUGACUAGCAAAAUUCAGGGGGAGAAAUCUCCUACUACCUCCGUUUCAGUUUACAAGUCCUACGCGUAUGCCUAGGUAGCCAAUUUUAUCACCCUAAUAUAAACUAUAUAACACAAAAAUUAUAUCUUUUGAAAGUAGAAACUCCAAAGUUUAUUUUGAUAUAUUUUUUAUAAUAUAUGACUUGUAUUAGGUUGGUCAAAUUGACAACUUAGGGGUACGGGCACGCCCUGUAAACUGAGAGAGAGGUAGUAGGUUAUAACCGCUUAAGAUCGUCAUAUCUUUAACACUGCAUUUUUUUGGGUGAGUUUCCUAUAGUAAGAUAGGUUGCAAGAACAAGUAAGGAUUAGGUGGCGUAUUAGGAUUUAUUUAAUUUUAUAAUUAGAGGAUAAUCCUUCUUGUAUAAUCAUGUACUGUAAUUCUUUUAGACUUUUCGAUCUACUCAUUCAUAACUGCAGUUCUUCAGAGACCAAUGGAAAAUUGCACUCGAUUCAGCCCUUGACCGACGUCAAACUAAAUUAGCACUUCCAUUCUGCCUGCGCAUGCAUCCUGCUCGGCUUCGUCAUCGCCGGCCUACAAGACACCACCUGCUCCCUCUGUCGCUAAAGCGUCGCGCCUCGUGAUCUACUGCUCGACGUGGACCUUCAGGUGUGUCGCCGCACCACGCCGUCACGGCGAUGCUCGAUCGAGCUUGCGUUCCACGUCUCCGCCCCGUCCCCUGCUACGAUGCCAAGCCUAGCGGCUUUCUCCUCCAGGCCCCCAAGACGAACCAAGAUGCAAAUAAAGCAUGGUCUGAUCAUAUGUUUACUUUGGCGACAUGCAUGGUUAUCGGAUGUGCGCGCGCGUAACAGCUAAUUUAACCUUGUAGACCGCUACGGUGCAAUCGAGCCGAUCGAUCGACGCGUGCUCCGUCUGCUGGCUGUUCCUGACGUGCAAAAGGCCACGGCAUUUGCAGGAGGAGACGCGGUGCCCAGACGUACGUGCCAAAGCCUAGUAGCAUGGGCCUGCGUCAACGCGGCGCGUCUUGGACGGAAGCCCGAUAUGUGCAAGGCAGCGCAAUACGUGCUCAGCUGGCCCCAGUGUUGUGUACGGAAGCCAAUCGAUGCAUCACGCAUGCAUUUCCAUGACCUUGACAUCUCUCUCGUGAGCUUUUGUGCCUUUAAUUUAUUUUUCUUCUUCGGGGUAAAGCAACUCUAUUAGUACUUGAACAACAAGCAGGCAUUACAAUCCCGGAGUGAUAUACUGUCAACAAUUGUAGCACGGCGAAGUAUGUGAUUCAAAGAAAGUACCAAUGAAAAUCUACAAACGAUACGGAUCGAAGGUGGGAUCCUUUUCUCUCGAGGCAAGUUCGCAGGCUUUGACCAAAAAAUAAAUUUCAAUUAACUUGGAGUGGAGAUAGUGCGUAAAGCGCAAAUUAAAUCAUAAGCGGGCAAGUAUUCCUAGCCAAGCUAGCUCUCCGUACCUGCAUCUACAUGCAACCAACUACAUACUAGUAGCAGCUCCUGCAUGCUAUUCGUCGCCAAAUUAAGAAGAUCGAGGGAGAAACACACAAACCAGAGGGAGAUAUUUCUUUACAAAACAUAUAGUAGUAGAGUACGUGCAGUCAACACAUGGCUAGAAAAACCCUAGAUCGAGUAGUAGUAGUAGAGUUUCAUCAACAUAGAUACCAUGCAUUGUCUGGUGCUAAUGCAUAUGCUCGUAUCAAUACCAUGCUUGCCGGUGAUUAACUUCAACUACUACGUACUACUCCCUCCGUUCUGAAUUACUUGUCUUGGAUUUAUCUAGAUACGGAGGUAUCUAGCACUAAAAUGAGUCUAGAUACAUCCGUAUCUAGACAAAUCCAAGACAAGUAAUUCGGAACGGAGGGAGUACAUGCUUAGCUUGCACACCACGAGGGGAUCGGAAGCUCUGGACCGGAUCUUGAGCUCAGGCCGCCGCACCGCCUGCCCCUGCGCCUUCCGCUCCUUGGUUCCCGGCGCCGGCUCCGCCCUGCGGGGGGUUCCAGCAAGCCCGUAUCCCACGGAUCAUGAUGCGGCCGGUGAGGUUGAGGAUCCCCCCAAUGACCGCGAGAGCAGGGAUGGCCAGCACGCCGCAACCAAAACCCGCCAAAAAUCCCUCGCCGUACGGCGUCAUGGCUCAGUUCGUGGCUGGAAUUGAGCGGAGAGUGUGAUCGAUGGAUGCGGAGGUGAAGUGGAGGCCGCCCGGGGUGGAAGAAAGGAGGAUUAUAAAGACGAUUAAGAGCGGGGAAUCUCUCUUUCUCACUCACGCAAUGACGCUGGAAUUUUCCGCCUGUCCCAAAUGAGGAAAACGCGGCCAGCUUGCGUGUGCAGGCUGGGCUGGCUACUUUGGCACCGAUAAGGUAACCUGCAUACAUGUGAUAUGGGUCGAUGGCCUGCUCUGCUCGAUCGAGAUAGGCUGGGGCGUCAUUUCCUGCGGACGCACACAUGUAAAAUUAGUGGCAUGCUGAUGCACCGGCGCCCGCUGCAAGUGCAAAGGAAACCUGUACACGCUGCAUGCACGGGCAACAUCGUACCGAUCGAUCAUAUACAGGAGUAUCUCUGUGCGACAUUAGGCCAACUCCACCGCGCGACCCUAUCCUAUCCGGCCCCGUCCAUUUAGGGUAAAAGGGACAAAAAAAGCGGCCCAGCGCGCGGGAGCAAACGGACUUUUGUCCGCUUUGUGUCCGCUUUCGACCCAUUCCCGGCCCAAACUUGCGCCGAAACGGACACCAUGCGGACACGCGGGUCGUCUGCGCGUGUCCUCCCCUGGCCCGCCCGUCGGUGACACAAGACGGGCCUUUUUCUAUCCGCCCCCCUCCCUCCCUUCGGCCGCAUCCCCUCCACUCUUCCCCACUCUUCCCGUCGCUGCCGCCGCCGCCGCCGCUGCCAUUGUAGCCGUGCAGUUCGGACGCGAGCUCGCCCAACCCCUUCCCCUCGGCGUCGGGCUCGGACGCGACCACGGCCACCUGGUUUGCGCACCCGCCGGCCGGCUUUGGGGCGGAUCCGGUCGGUCUUGAGCUCGGCCGGCUGUGGGAGGCCGGGCCGCGGCAUGGACUGGCCGGGCACCUCGCCGCAAGGCCACAUGCAGGCAGUGGCUCCUCCUUUAGCCGCUCGGAUCUGCACCGUCGGUGGUCCGCCGGCAGAUACACGAAUGGUGGUCGGCCGGGCUCGGUGCUUGCCCAAAAGCUCGCCGGCGCACCGUUGCCACUCAUUAAGUGCGACCACUGCCCAAGGAUGGUCGUGCGCCGCGUGUCUACAACGCCGGAACAUUCUGGAUGGGUGUUCAUCAAGUGCUUAAACGAUGGGGUAUGCGUUUUUUUAGCUUCGGUUUGUGCUCUAGAUUUAACUAGUUGUGCUAACUUCAAAUUUUGUUGUGUAGAACGGAUGCAAGUUUUGGUAUUGGGAAGAAGAGUACAUCGAUAUAUUGAUAGAACGGAAUUUAGUACAUGUUCGUGCACUUUUAGCUAGCAUAGAGGCUGUAAAUGAGACAAGUGCACUUGUUGCUAGAUUAGAGGCUAGACACGAGACUAGGUGUGAGGAGGAAGCAACAUCGACUUCUGGCUUGAAGAAGAAAGGAGGAUGCCAGAUCGAGCCUCCUCCUCCACAGAUCAACAACGAGUGCAUCGAGAAGGCCCUAACCCAACUCAAGGGAGCAGUUAUGGAAGUUGGGUAUCUUCUAAAAUGUAUUUUUGUGAUUCUUAUUUUCUUUGGUCUUGCUUUGCUAGUCAAAAUGUGAUGAUGUAUUUUUCAUGUACCAAAAAUGAAUGAUGAAAUAAAGUUAAGGACUUGCAAAAAAAUAAUACGCGGACAGGAUGUGCCCGGGAUGCGUCCGCGCGCUGGGCGCACGGCCACCGCAUCCCCGGACAGGCCCGGACACGACCCCAAAUCCCUAUCUAAAGGGACAAAAACCGGAUAAAACGGACGUCCGUUUGGGAUCGCGCGAUGGAGUUGGCCUUAGACGGGGCGCCCGUGCACUGCCAAAGCUAGCUAGCUCUUUUCUGGCCGAUUAACAGAAGGAUUUUGUUUACAAAUUGACAGAAAUCAAGCGUACGUAACGUACGACUCCAUGAAUAAAAAGACCACGUACUUAUUUUUGCGGGGUAAAAAGAAGACCACGUACUCCGAUAUGUGCAAGACAGCGCAAUACGUGCUCAGGUGGCGCCUGUGCCAUAUACGGAACGGAAGCCGAUGCAUGCAUUUCCAUGAAAGUUCUACACGCCCCACGGUGGCAUCUCUUUCGUGAGCUUUUGUGCUACAGAGCGGGCUAUGCUAAUGCAUCCGUGCCUCUGGUUUUCUUCUUCGGGGUAAAGCAACACUCUAUAUAUUACGUACUUAAACAACAAGCAAGCAUCACAAUCCCGGAGGAUGAGGUAAGAACUGCACCACGGCCAAGUGUACGAUACAAGACCGAAGCAUCAACGAAAAUGUGCAAACUUAUCUUCUACAGCAAAACACACGGCAUGGAUCGAAGAUGGGAUCCCUAACUAGCCGCUUAAACGCCAAUCAGCACACAACCCUUUAAAUUACUCUCAAGGCAAGUUUGCAGGUUUUAAUUAACCAGGAAAACAAACUUCAAUUAACUUGAAGAGAAGAUAGUGCGUAGAGUGAUUUUUUUCCCUUUGCGCAUAAGUAUUCCUAGCUAAUUAUGCUUGCUCUCCAUCAUUAUCCGAGAAAAAACUAGCUCUCCAUCCUUGCAUCUACAUGCAAUCAACCACAUAGUACAACAGAAACUAACAGAAAGUAACAAUGCUGCAGCAGCAGCACGCAACUGUCAAACAGCUCCUGCAUGCUAUUUGUCGCCAAAUUAAGAAGAUCGAGGGAGAAACAAACACACAUAAUAUCACAAACAUAAUAUAUGUGUGUAUGUGCCGUCAACACAUAGCUAGAGAAACACUAGAUCGAGUGGUAGUAGAGUAGAGUUUCAUUCAUAUAGAGACCAUGCAGUGUCUGCUGCUAAUGCGCACAUACGGUACCAAUACCAUGCUUGCCGCUAAUUAACCUCAUUACAGCUACAUACUUAGCUUGCACGCAUCCAGGGUAAGCUCUGGACCCGAUCUUGGCCUCAGAGCGCUGCCCCUGCGCCUUCCGUUCCUUGGUUGCCGCCGGCCUACGCCCGCGCCUUCCGCUCCUUGGUUGCCGCCUCCGGCUCCGCCCUGCGGGGGUUCCGACAAGCCCGAAUCCCACGCAUCAUGAUGUGGCCGGUGACUUUGAGGAUCCCCCCAAUGACCACGAGAACAGGGACGGCCAGCAUACCGCAACCAAAGCCCUCAAGGAACAGCUUGACACACGGUGUCAGGGCUCGGUUAGUGGCUGGAAUUGAGCGGAGUGUGAUCGAUGGAUGUGGAGGUGUAGCUGAGCAAGACCAGGCCGGCCGGGGUGGAGGUAAGGAUGGUUAUAAAGACGAUUACACACUCACGCGGGGAAUCUCUCUCUCUCUCACGCACACGCAGGGAAUCUCUCUCUCACGCAACAAAAAUGCUAGACGUACGGGAAACUUUUACAAGAAUUAACGAACUAACCUUCUUCCCUCAUUAAUCUCUCCCCCUCUGAUUUUUAGGGUAGGACCCGCUUCAUCUUAACAACCAAACACACCCCACAAGUCCUCAGUAGCUAAUACAAUAGGAUCGAUUGAUGCUCAGCUUAUACAGUAGCUAAUUAAUCUUUGGCAGCGACACCAUAACUCCUCAGCAACAUGCGUGUAGCUAGACACAGCAAAACUCUCAUCAACUCGAAUCCAUCUUUCUAGAAUCUCUCACCACACAAACAUACGCCAUAGAACGGACGAAACAUAAAUAAACCACACAUGCAACACUAGUGAAAAAACGACUUUUAGUACCGGUUCGUAAGGACUUUUAGUACCGGGACCAAAGGCCCACCACGUGGCACGAGGCCCGCCGUGGUCUUGGGGACCUUUAGUCCCGGUUGGUGGAUUUUUUUUUGAAAUAAAGCAAAAACAGCCCGCCUACUGGGCCGGCACGGCCUGCAUACGACUAGAAACCCAAUUCCUAGUUGGGCCAGGAUGCAGGCCCGUACGGACCAGUAGGCCCCACAGGGCAGAAGACUUGCAAUAGGUCCACAAAGCGCUUAGAGAGGAGCUCGACACGGUAGCCACGGCGGGGCUUAUAAACCGGUGCGAGCUGCUCUCAACUAGCGAGGUGGGACUAAACAUUGUGCACUGCGGGUGGCAGCGCACCACCUUUAGUACCGGUUGGUGGCUCCAACCACCAACCCGUACUAAAGGCCAUCAUCUUUAGUACCGGUGGGAGACCACCAACCCGUACUAAAAGGGGGGGGGGGGUCUUUAGUACCGGUUGAAGCCACCAACCCGUACUAAAGGCCACCACCUCUUUAGUACCGGUUCGUGCCGAACCGGUACUAAUGAGCGCCGCCCGCCUAGCCGUUAGAACCAGCACUAUUGGUCACAUUAGUGCCGGCUCAAAUACAAACCGGGACUAAUGAGCUAAACAUUUGACCCUUUUUCUACUAGUGCAACUAGCUAGCUUGCAAAGAUGACCACGACCGAGGGCCGACUCGUCUCGACGACCCCUUCGCAUCCAGCAGGUAACCGCCCAAACCACCGUGUAAAGCUCGGGAAAAGCCUCCAUCAACAUCAUAUGGCAGCACUCGCGCCCAAAGGCUGCUGAAGAUGAGUAGGUUUUACAGAGUGGAAAGGUGAGAUUCAUCGGGUGGCUGCUUGACUGGAGUACACUAAGAGCAUCUCCAACACACGCGUACCGCGUGGCGCGCUAAAAAACAGAAUGCAACAUCGGGUGAGCCAGCUUUUGCGCGCGGCGGUGCGCUGGCUCCAGCGGCCGCCUCAAAAUAAGCGCGCCUAAGCCGCUCUAGUAGGCGCGCUAUAUUUCUUUCUUUUUGUACUACGAUUCGGUACACAUUUGGCUUUGAUAGUACAAAUGUGAUAGAUAGUUCGUCACAUAGCCUCCUCCUACGAUACAAAAUAGUGCAUAGAUAGUUCAUAACCUUCUCCUACGAUAGAUAGAUAAAACAAAAAACUACUACUACUCGUCAUCCUUCGACUCGGACUCUGCCUCGGUGAUGUCCUUCUCUGACGUCUGAACGUAGGCGUCAAGGAACCGCUCGUCGUUGGAGUCCCAGGACGACGCGUCUCCUAGCGUGAUGUUGAAUUUAGCGACCGCCUUCCGCGUUCGCAUGUCCUCGCGAUAAGCGGCUCGCUCCUCCCUCCUCUCCUCUCUCUCCGCCCUCCUCUUGCCUCGGCCAACGUCAACCCUAGUCGGGAGCCCUACCCUUGCCCCUGUCAGCAACAACGGAGGUGUCCCUGAGCAAUCACGCCUACUCGAUCUUGCUGAGCUCCCCAUUGAGAUAGUGCAAUCGUCGUGCACACGUCUCGGCGGUGCUCACAGACUAGUCGUGGGCCGAGGCCUCCGCAAGGGCGAGUUCCAUGAGGACCCAGACAUGCGCGGUGUCGUACUUUGUGAAUGCUGCUAGCGUGUCGCCUUCUCCUAAACCCAAACGAUGCUCCUUGACAAGGUGCCGCGGCCAACGAGGUAGUGGAGGAGGCGGCCGCACACCUUCAUGGUCGGCGGGGGAAACUCCUUCGUCACUGGCUUGCCGAGACAGCGACGAGGCGGUAANNNNNNNNNNNNNNNNNNNNNNNNNNNNNNNNNNNNNNNNNNNNNNNNNNNNNNNNNNNNNNNNNNNNNNNNNNNNNNNNNNNNNNNNNNNNNNNNNNNNNNNNNNNNNNNNNNNNNNNNNNNNNNNNNNNNNNNNNNNNNNNNNNNNNNNNNNNNNNNNNNNNNNNNNNNNNNNNNNNNNNNNNNNNNNNNNNNNNNNNNNNNNNNNNNNNNNNNNNNNNNNNNNNNNNNNNNNNNNNNNNNNNNNNNNNNNNNNNNNNNNNNNNNNNNNNNNNNNNNNNNNNNNNNNNNNNNNNNNNNNNNNNNNNNNNNNNNNNNNNNNNNNNNNNNNNNNNNNNNNNNNNNNNNNNNNNNNNNNNNNNNNNNNNNNNNNNNNNNNNNNNNNNNNNNNNNNNNNNNNNNNNNNNNNNNNNNNNNNNNNNNNNNNNNNNNNNNNNNNNNNNNNNNNNNNNNNNNNNNNNNNNNNNGAUCGCCGCCUCCUGCUCCUCCUCGCCGGACCUAGAGAGUGACAACGGCGGCACCAAGAUCCGGGUCCGGAAGGAGAUAUGAAUCCGCCACUUGCAGGUGCAGAGAACCACGACUUUGGCAUCUUCAGGUGGGCGAAGAUGAGAGGAUGUACGAUGAUCGGAGAGGAGAGGAUGUGCGGUGAGCAAAGAGGAGAGUAUGUGGCGUGUGGUGUGGAUGGUGCCGGAGCCGUGUUUAAAUAGGCACGACCAAGCAAUCAGACGGGCAGCCAUCCUCAAUGCAGCGUUAGAAUUGGCUUCUUCGUCAGCAUUGAAAUGGCCUGACCGUCAUCAGUGCAGUGUGGAUCACGUCCUUCUGGAGCGGCCUAACCGGAAUGGAUGCACGGCGACCUUUCAUGGGGAGAGGGUUUUGGGGUGAGCGUGGAGGUCAGGCGCAUACGUGACAACAGUCGGACGCUCAUAUAGGCCCUCCGGUUUGCGUCUGGUUUGCGGGAUUUCAGGGACAUGGCUGCCGCUCCGGCCAGUAGAUUAGCAGAUAGGAGCUUAUCUCAAGCAGUUUGGGCAACGCAAAAAAAAGAGGGAAAAGGGAACCAUGAGAAAUAUCUUAUUACAUUGAUUUUAUUUUGUUGAUUUCACGGAUAAUUGAUUUCAUUUGUUUCGAACAAACAAUAUAUUGAUGUUUUGUCUUAUCCAGGAGAUAUGAUUGGUUUUAUGUCCAAUGACUGUGUUGAGAACUGAGACACACGAUAUGUGAGCCAUGGAGUUUGCACCUUAUUCUACAAUGGCUUCCAGUUGAUAUUAGCUAAUUAUCUUGAUGUAUUUUUCUCUUGCCAAUGGUACAUCUACUCCUAUUGAUUUUAUAUAUCCAGGUUAAUCAUAUUUUCACAUCCAUAAAAAUAUAUUUGCACGACCAUCGUUACAAAAAAAGUGCCAACAAAAAUUAUUGUUAGAUUUGGCAUAACAUUUAUUAUGAUUCUGUUUGCUUAAAAACCAAAUAAUGUUAAUUGAGCUAAUAAUUUAGACAUCCAUGAUUAUGGAAGCAAGUAGUGAGAGGAGGAAGUCAACAAUUACUCUUUGCAAAUUGUGGUAAGUUUCCAAUUGAACUACUUAUUUGACUGUUCAUUUUAUAGGUUUGGCAUGCAUGUAGGAUCAUGAAGGGUUCAUGUUUAUUUGUUGUUUUAUAGUUUUUGAACUAAUGGGUACGCGUGCAUGUGGUUAAUGAUUUUAUUAGAAGCUAAAACAAGGCAUCCAGUUGACCAAUGUUUUAGGAUGCCGAUGAACUUUUGACAUAUGAACUAGGUAGUCUACAAAAUGUUAACCUCUUGUUCUAACGUGUUAAUUUUAUCUAGGCCGAAUCACUUGUCCUGAAUAUACCGCAAAAAUUGCUGUGACUAACAAAAGUGAUUGUGGUUGAUUCUGGGACCUUAUUCAUCUAGGUUAGCAAAACUUUUUUAAAUAAAUUUAGUGAGCUAUGGACAUGGAAGAAUUUUUGUUUUGCAACGCACGGAGAACUUUUCUAGUUUAACCAAGGGGUAAUUUGGGAAUUGUAGUCAAUAUCCGAUGCAACUAUCUAGAACUCCAGAUCCACGGCCAUGUUCUUCCACCACCGUGGGCGUGGCCGGAACUGCAGCCACAGGGAGGAGACGUGGGUCGUAGGUAUAGUGAUUUAGUACUCCUCCGUUACAGAUACUAGUAGAAUGCCCGUGCGUUGCUACGGGCUAUAGUGCAUAUAAGUGAAUCAAACAAAUGAUUUAGUUUGUCCUCAAGGUCGAAGCUCAUUUCUUCCAGUCUGGGCUCCCCAAAUCUAGACCAUAUGUGGGGAAGAAAUGUGGUUGUCUUAUUUUCAACACGUGGGCCCAAUACAGAAACCCUGCCCCAUGACACACCCUUUCCUUUUUCUGAGCCCUCUCCUUUAAAAUUGAGUGAUGCCCCCCGCUCUCCGCCCUAAUCCCCUCCCCUUGUGUAUGUGUCCUUGUGUAUGUGCCGAUCCACCACCAAGGCGUGCACCGAGUCCGUGCGGAUUCCUAGUUCUUUCAUAUCUAUGUUCGAUCAGACAUUGGAUUACAAAGAUCCAUCGUGAGUUGUAAGAAGCCAAUUAGCAAGUUUAAAAUGGACCAAAAGUGAAUUUAUUCACAUAGUGCUGGAUGCCCAUGUGUUGCCACAUGCUAAAAAAACUAUAUGUACAACAAGAAAUGUGCUAACAAAAUGUUUUUACAAAAAGAAAGGCUGUGUGAUAUGAGCCAUAUACUAUUUACACGUGAUGAUAUCUCAUGCUCAUGAUGUGGUAGAUAAAUGCAUCUCCUCGUCAUCUUCAUGCCCCUCCCUCUUCUCAGCCACCACAUGACACUCCACUUCCUCCCACAAUCCUUCUUCUUGUUGUUUUCUUCCCGCACCUCCACCUUGCAUCAAAAUAUUAAAUGCCUUGUCAAACUUUCACAAUUUUCAAAGGUUAGCCAUCCCCUAAGAUUAUACAUAACUUAUAUGUGCACAGAAUAAGGAUAACGAAAAGGCAUACCAAAUGUCCUGCGAGAGAUAAAAUUCAGGGUGAUAUCUUAUACUCUAUGCAAUCAAUUUUUAAGAUAAUCUCUUUGUAGCUUUAGUCAAGAUUGUGACGCUCGCACAUUCCACAGAAUAAACAUCCAAUGCUGACCACAUAACUGAUUUAAUAGUUGAAAUAUGCCUAUGAUAAAUAAAGUUUACUCAGAACAGUUUUUCUAAGAAAGGCAGAUAAUUUACUUAAGUGAAAAAGGAGAGGUUUGGGUUCAUCUCAAAUUAUUGCAUAUAUUAGAAGCAGAGGGUCACCGAACAAUUAACACAAUAGAAAAUCCAUGUUAUAUGUACUCCAUGAUGGCCUUUGUUUGUAUGGCUACAAUAGUUUUGUGAAGGAAACAGUGAAGACUCAAUAGCAUCAACUUACUUUAUGUUUAGAAAUUGUAGUCACAUAUAACCUAGAAAAAUUUAUCUUUCCAACUUCUUGGACAUACAAUAAAAUUGUGCUAUUCUGUAUAGUGGCAAGAAAUAUGACUACAAACUUCUACUUUGAUCAGCCAUACACAACGAUCGGUAAGAAUAUAUAGCUAUGAUAUUGUGCGAAGACCAAAAAUGGAGAAAAUAUGCAUGCAAAAGGAGAUCAACAAUAAAAAACUUGAUGCAUAACUACUUGCAUCCAGUGAAGAUUGUAACUAAGAGCAAGCAAUUACAACAAAAUCGCACCGUUUUUACUAUUUCAUGUAGAAAAGAACACAAGCUAUCAUGUUCACUUUCGUCCAAAGAAGUCAACAUUAUUUAUUUCCUGCAAACAAAAUAUGCACAUCAGAAUUUAGUCCGAAGAUGAAGGGUAAUUUUGAACAAAUAAUGCUAUCAUGCAUAUCUAUAUACCGUUGACUCUACAAAAAAAACCUACUUGAUAACUACAAAGAAAUAAUAUUGGAACUCUUUAACACAAAACUGGUAGGGGGUUCAUUCACAAUCUGUAUACUUAAAGCAGGAUCAUGGUUCCAACUUGAAUAAGCAAUGUCAAGAGUGAAUUAGCUACAGAGCCAUUAGAUCAUUAGAACACAACCACGAGGAACGUGUCUGACACUUAAAAAUAGUAUAGUAGAUGUACACUAACAAUAAGUAAUAGUCACCUGGUAACCUCACGGGAGACAACAAUAUAUGCAUAGUUUGGUUUUGAUGCGGCCAUGUCUAUCCGGCUUUGGGAAAGAGGCAGACUGGGGGUAUUAACUGAGUGCUGAAAGACUAUAGGUAGCCAAUGGAUAACCGUGUUUUGUACCCCCAAAUAAUUGUCGGUUAAUACAAAUGUCAAAAGAAUCAAGAGUACCAUGAGGUUGUAACUUGAAAGAGGUGAACACAGGAGCAAAUAAAAUGUGUAGACAUUAAGAUUGAUUAAUUUGUAUGUUGUCUUGUAUCAUUUAGGUGAUCAAUUUAAAAUUAUUUCCCUUCGAACAUUGUAGUACUCGACUUGAAAAGGCUGACACUAAUACAAUCAGGCAUAUGCAGUCUGGAUGAACACCAGUUGUGUUUGAUUAAUCAUUUAAUAUCUAAUCAAGAUAAAAUUAAUACAUACCUAGAGGUCGGAUAAGAUUAAUUAGAACGGUGUGUGAGCACAGCACCAGCGAGCUGCACAAACAAUUAUAGAGAAUAUAUACUACUACCACUACCAACUACAACUUGUGACCAAUCACAUAAAGAUAUAUAUAUUUAGAAAGAUGUGCAUUGCUACGACUUCUAAAUUGAUAUAUCAUACUGUAUUUUGUCUCUUUUCACUUCUUUCCUCUCCUCAUCUCGUUGGCUAGUCUUCUCUGAUUAUUUGUUGUCAAUUCUUUUAUCAAGGUUAUGCAAAAAGAAAGUUCAAAAUAUUCAGAUCAAAGAUAAAUCUCUAUGAAAACUAAUUAUUCAAGAGCGACGAUGCAAAUUAAAAGAUGAGACAACACCUUGAUGAAAAAAUGCAGAUCCACUUGUAUGGCGUCCAAAUAUGUUACCCAGUGGGUUUCUUGUUCACUGAGCAAAGUUCAGCACUUUCAUGGAAUUAAUUAGUAGAAUUAUUGUAACACCAAGCAUGUACAAGUAUCCCAAGAUGACCACGAGUGAAAUUUCUACUGUAGUGCAUACUAAACAUACCUGACCUUUUUCUUCUUGAAUCCAUCAAAUUUUUAUUUCAUUUAGAGCAUCAUGAUGUCGUGAAUACAACUUCAAAACUAUUUAGAGCAUCAUGACCUCAACACUUCUAAGUCUGAAAUCGUCUCUAUAAAUGAUCUGUGGAGCAAUUCGUAAACUGCAGUCAGUAGACACAUUAAUUAGAUUGUGCAUGCAUGAGACGAUGGAUUGUGUAGAUGAUCCCUAAGCUGUGGAACAGUAUAACCAGAGAAAAUAGCAGUCAAAGGGAGGAAUUAGCUAGCUAGAUUGUGGAUGCAUGCAUGAGUCAGCCGGCGCAAGGGGAGUUGCACUGAGCGCCAUGACGAACUCGGAGUCUGGGCCCGAGCCGUUGUGCCUCGGCGGUAGACAGGGCCAGCACAGCCGCUGCUCGCUGGGCCGCUACUCGCUAGUGCCCACCACGCUGUUGAAUCGGCCGCCGAUUGUAGCCACUAUAUACAGUGUUCACGCCGCCAUGAUUGUGCCCGACGAGGACGGUACAGGGCGGCGGAGUCGUGCAUAUCCGGCGGUGAGAUCAACCAGCAAGGCGAGGUGACCGGCAGCGAACGGGCAGGGCCUGCGGCGUCGUCUGCAGAUCUCCUGGAACAGAGAAAAAGAGAGAGAGGUAGAGACUGAGGAAGGAGAGGUAGGGCGCAGGAAGAGGAGAGGGAUACUGGUGUCCAUGGCGAGGCCUCCGUUGUCCACCGGCAAACCUCCAUGGCUAAGGUAAGGUGCACCUACACCCAUAACACACCAGCAUGACCUGACGGUGAACGGGUUCACGUGACGAGCGCGGGGCUGGCAAUCACCGUUUCCUGGUCCUCCUCGCUGAUGCAUAACGGGCACGCAUCGCUGCCUGGGUCGCUCACCAUGAAGAAGAAGAUAGGGUGGAGGAAUUGAGCGAGGGAGGAGGAAUCGAGCGGCUUGUACGGCAGGGGGCCAAACCAUGAUAAAAAUCAGUACAACCCGUGCGAGGUGGAGAACGAAAUGACUUACCUAUAGCUCAUGAUUCGAUUGAGAUGAUAGGGAAGGAAGGAAAAUUGUGAUUUAGUCAGACAAAGUUUUGGAAAGUUCUGAUUCAGCUGAGAAAUAGAUGGAAAUAAUGCCUCAUGAUGAUUAGGAGAUCACGAUUAGGGUAUGGCAAGAAGAACUUUUUUGGAAAGCUUUGAUUCUGAGUUUUACCAUACAUGGAUUACCAUAUUCGAAAUUUCCUUAGUUAUAGCCUUACCAUACAUGGAUUGAUUUAUUACUAUAAUUAUCAUAUUUGAGAUUUCUGAGUUUAUAGCCUUACCAUAUGUGGAUUAAUUGUGAUUGAUCACCAUAAACAACACGUUGGAUGUUGUCGGCCAGACGAGAAAGAGGAAAACCGGUGGGAGGGGGGUGGUGGGGGGUGGGACGAAGAAAAACCAGACGAAAAAAAGCCAGACGAAAAAAAACCAGACAAAAAUGGUGGGACUAUUCAACCAACUCGUUCAUUAGGAAUAGAGAUAACUACGGCCUUGUGGAACUCAGUUUACGUAUGCGCUUCCGCGCAGGGGACGGACGCCACGGCGAGAUAUCUUGACAUUAAACACGCAGCAGCAGCCGCAAACGACCAAAUUGAACGUUGAGAUCUCAUGCGAUUUCUUGCCAGAGAAGAUCGAGGGAGAAAACACAUCGGCCGGCCGGCGAUAAAAAGCAACAUAUGUUGGGUCAAACACAUAGAGAAACACGAGAGUAGAGUUCUUCAAUAAGUAUACUACUAUCAUCAUCAACGAGUCAACCAAGUCACCCGCUGCUGAUUAAGUUCAUUACAACUAAAAACUUUGAUUUCCAAACACACGCCGCGCCACCAACAGAGCCGCACACGCCCGCGAUCUCGCAACAAACCCAACAAGGAAACGACGACGUACUGGCUGAACUGAUGAACUGAUGGGGUCGCUCUCGAUCGCGAGGUAGCGCGCAGCUCAGACCGCCGCGCCGCCAGCGCCCUCCGCCUGGCCGCCGCCGGCUCCGGCCUGCGCCUGCGGGUUCCCGCGCGCCUGGAUCUUGGCCAGAAUGCACUCGCCGAUGUCGCCGAUGGCGCCCUUGGCGAACAGGAAAAGGAUGAUGCACGCCACACCGUCAAGGAAACCCCAUCCGUACUCGUCCAUGGACUAGCUAGAGGACUAGCUUGGCGUGCGUGCGUGGUUGGAUGGGCAGAAGAGAGGAGAGUGCGAUGGGUCGAUGGGAUGCAGAGCAGAGGAGUGACGAGUGGUGGAAGAAAGUGAUUACUCCUAGAUGGGAGAGGGGUUUAAAACGCACACGCUCUCUCUGCGCUCCGGCCGGUCCAUGGGUAGUCUAAUCUCUGUCUAGUGCUCCUGACGUGUAAAAUGGGACCGUCAUUUUCUGCAGACGCGGUGCCAAGGUCGACGCGGUAGGUCGUCUUUGGACGCACGCCCGAUGUGUCGAAACAAGGUAGCUAGCCGUCCAUCGAUCAGCCGGCUGGCCCCUGUGGCCUGUGCUGCAUACGGAAACGGAGGGAUGCAUGCGCUUUCCUCCUGAAAUGGAGCUAUUGGUAAAGACUUAGUGAACAAAUCUGCAAGAUUAUUACAAGAUUUUGUUUGCAAAAUAUGAAUUUCUCCAGAAUAAAAUGUAAUACAUGAGGAAAAAUCAGUUUGGGAGCAAUAGGUUUUGCGAUAUUACUUCAAAUCUAGCCAUAUGCAUCUGAGCAACAUAUGCAUCAUUAGCCUCAUAGAUAAUGGUUGGUGAUUCUAAUGAACCAAUACCACAUGAUGUUUGAAUAUGGCUAAUCAGUCUGUGAAGCCAUACACAAUCUCGUGAGGCUUCAUAACUAUUUUAGACUGGUUAGUGGAAUUUGCUACUAAAGUUUGCUUUGUUGCUUUCAUGGAAUAGCAAUUCCAUCAUAUAAAAAAUACAAACCCCAUUUUUGACCUGGCAUUACGAGGACCAGAAAGUUAUCCAAGGCCAAUAUAACCAAUUAGGUCCAUUUCUUGAUUUUCUCGAUAAUAUAAACCAAAUUAUUUAGUACCAUGCAAAUAUCUUAAGAUAUUCUUUACUCUCACCCAAUAAAUCCUGUUGGAGUUGCACUAUGUCUAGCCAAUACAUUUAUUACAAAGACAAUGUCAGCUCCAACAAUUUUGUGUUGCAAAUCUAAUAUUCCCGAAACUUCACAUUCAGAUUCACUAGUACGUCGAUCUAAGGACCGAAUGCCUGUAACAUUCCAAUCUAUUUCCUGUCAUUUUUUAUGAUUUGUUUUUUCCCCUGAUGCCAGGAAAUGUUCCCCGUCAAAAUUUUAAUCAGCAUACUGGAUUAUGAACAGGUUCAUGUUAGGGGUUCUAAGUAUUUUACAACUGGCAUUGAAUUGGUACGUAUACAACACAAUCGAAUUUUCGCGGAUGAAAAAUACUUUGCUGAUUGCUCCAUACUAUUUGAAACGUGGAAGUUUCAUCAUUUGCAGUUGGUCUUGCUUGUAUCAACCCUUGGGCGUGUAAAACCACAUGUCCAUAACAGCUAAAUUCCAAUUCUCUGCAAUAGUGGCCUUGUAAUUAGUUUCACUCUUUUAAUUAAAUAUUCAGCCAUUUCAUUUUGUGUAUGACCAUAGGGUGUCGAAUGUUCUAGACGGAUACCUGUAGCCGUAAAAUAAUCACUAAAUGUGCAUGAACUAAAUUCGUGGCAUUAUCCAUUCUUACUGUUUUUAUCGUAUGUUCAAGGAUGACUUGCUGACAAUUCAAUAAUUUGGCAAAGACAUGUCGACGAGUGGAUAAUAAACAAACACAUGACCAUCUAGUGGAUGCAUAUAUUAGCACCAUGAAGUACCUAAACUGUCCAUAGUGUACUGGACCACAUAUAUCACCUCUAAUUCUUUCAAGAAAGUUAAGUGACUCCUUUUAAAAUUUGAGGUAUGAUGGCUUAAUAUUUAAUUUCCCAGUAGCACAUGCGGCACAUAUAAAAUCGGAUGAUUUGGGAAAUCUUCUAAUUGAUAAAUUAUGAGGAAAAUAAUUAAGUAUAAUUGUUCUCAUCACACCCUAUUCCAGGAUGACUAAGGCGAUCAUGCCAUGUUUUGAAUUUAUCAAGAUUUUGAAAUAAAAUAAAUUGUACGCAAUAUAAGGUACGGAUUCUUCCUACAUUGGAUUGUUUCACCUAAAAUUUAUUUCUUCCCUUAUGUAGUCUAUUUGCUUGGGUUCGACCGGUGCCUGAUAAUUUGAACAAAAUAGACCGGUUGUGAAUGAGACAAUGUUUAUUGCAAGAUUCGUUGAAGUAUUUAUAUGUUCUAAAGGGGGUGCUUACAAAUUUUCUUUUUAACUUGGCGCUCACAUUGCUUUUUUUUAUAAAAAAACAGUGCUUAUAAAGACGGUUCGCUAUGUACAACGUCAAGAUUCUAACUGCCAGGGGUGAUUACAGUACGAGUUACCAAGGCCGGCCCUUCUGUAAUCCCUCGGGUACGCAUGGCUGCCUAUAGUUCGGGGAGCGAGAGGGGUUAGGGGAAGCCCAUAUGUUCUCUCUGAUCGCACGAGGAAUGUCCCCUUAAUAAUUUGGUGGAAUCGGGAGCAUGUGAGUGUGAUCAUACGCAGGAGAUGGGCAGUUAGAUAGACAUCGACCGGUCAAUUAACAUUGCAGCAGCAACAGUAGAAACUGCUCCUGCAAUUGUCGCCAAAGAAAACUAGAUCGGGGGAGAAAUGCAAACAUAAGUAGGAGUACUGUAUUAAUUUUAGUCUUUUGAUUAAAUAUUCAGCCAUUUCAAUUUGAGUAUGAACAUAGGGUACUGAAUGUUCUAGAUGGAUAUCUAAAGUCAAAAAAUAAUAAUUAAAUGUUUGUGAACUAAAUUUAGCUGCAUUAUCCAUUCUUAUUGUUUUUAUCGUGUGUUCGGGAUGAUUUGCUCACAAGUUGAUAAUUUGAGCAAUUAAUUUUGCAAAGACAUGGUUAUGUGUAGAUAACAAACGCGGAUGCAUCUAUUAGCACCAUGCAGUACCUAAAUCGUCCAUAGGGGUUGUAUUGGACCACAUAUAUUUCCUUGAAUUAUUUGAAGAAAAUUAAGUUAGUCAUUUGUAAGUUUGAGGCAUACAAAAUCCAUUGAUUUGGGAACAUCUAAUUGGUAAAUUAUGGCCAAAAAAUUACGUGUAGUUUUUCUCAUCAUACGUCUUCCAGAAUGACCAAGGCUUUCAUGUCAAGUCUUAUCAUCAUGAAGGAGUCAACGACAACGCCCUGCUAUGACGUUUGCCACAACGUAAAAGCGAUCAUUUUUUUUGUAGACUAAUACCGAAUUACCGAGGCAAUCUCAUUGACAGUACGGCAGGCUUGGCUGACUGCAGUUCGUAGAAAUCGUACGAGGAGUGUUCCCUUAAUAAUUUGGUGGGAUCGGGUGCACUAUGAUUGCGCGCAGGAGAUGGACGGUUAGCUAUCGACUGCUCAAUUAAGAAUGCUGCUGCAGCAGCAGAAAACAGCUCCUGUAAUUAUCGGCAAAGAAGCUAGAUCGGGGGAGAAACGCACAUAUAUAUAUCGGGGGAGAAGCAGCUCCUGUCGCGAUUACAAACAUAAGUACUGUAUAAAACAUAAGCUAGAUCCUGGGAGAAAAUAUAGAGUACGUAGAGUUCAAUAUAUCAUCAUCAUCAACAUCAACGGGUCAAGGACCAUGCAUGCAUGUCCCUGCUAAUGAGUACCAGACUGCCAAUUAACUCCAUUAUUACAACUAAACUCUGAUGCUGAUCGAGUGACGCCUCUCACCUCUGGGCUAUCCCUCGCGAAGUCGCGAGCUCAGGCCGCCGCGCCUGCGCCUCCCGCCUGGCCGCCGCCGGCUCCACCAUGCGUCUGCGGCUUCCGGAUCAACGCCAGGACGAUCCGGCCGGUGUAGGCGAGGAUCCUCACCGCGAGCAGGAAGCUGGCUGUGUACUGUACACCGCCAAUGAAACCCGCUUCAUACUCCCCCAUGACCGCCACCGCCCGCCCACCGGUGUGUGUGUGUGUGUGUGUGUGUGUGAGAGAGAGAGAGAGAGAGAGAGAGAGAGAGAGAGAGAGAGAGAGCAAGUGAGGAUGGGGUGAGGAGAGGUGGAAGAAGUAGGCAGGAGCACACGCACUCUCUCCGCUCCAGGUUCCGGGGUUUUAAUGGCUUCUGCACGCCACUUUCGGCCAAGACCCAGCUGGGUCGACGCGGUAGGUCUUGGACGCACGCCCGAUGUGUCAAAAGCUAGCUAGCCGGCUGGCUGGCUCCUGUAUUGUGCUGUAUACGGAAACGAAACGGAAACGGGCGCAUGCACUUCCCUGGUGACAAUAGAAAAGGUACUUUCUCCGUUACAAAUUACUCGUCGCGAAAAUGGAUGUAUCUAGAUGUAUUUUAGUUUUGGAUACAUCCAUUUCUACGGAAACAGUGGGAGUAGCUAGCUAGCUAGCGUCCAUGGAUCAGCCACACACUUCAAUAAUUUCACUGCCCAUCUCGUGAACUUUUGUGCCACGGAGUGGGUUAUGCACCAUGAUCAAUGCCGUUGCAUGAAUAUGUACGGUUUUGCUUGAUCGAUGCCCCUCCACUAGCACAUGCCCGAGAGCCACCGCAACAUGAUGCAACGUUCAAUCUGCGUUCCUACUGAAUUUGGCCUUGAUGCUUCCAUGGACACAUAUAGGGCUGUAAUGCUUGUUCAGUCGAUCAUGUGAUUACAAUCACGUUGCAGUGGGAUGGAGGUGUUCACCAUUAAUGAUGACUGUUAAAAUAAAUCCGAGACGCUCCGUUGAUCUAUCGAGGACCAAACAAUCACACGAACACGACACCGAGAUUUGUUAACGAGGUUCACCAUCAUGGCUACAUCCUCGGGGCCUGACUACGGGUGCUCCUCCCCGUAACACCGUCACAAUACCGCACCCCGGCCGCCCGGGCGCCGGCACACGCCGCCGGCUCCCCCGCGUGCCCGUGCUAUUAUGUUGGCAUAGGGUACAUCGUGUGUCUACCCCGCUAUAUAUGAGAGGCCUAGGAUACAAGUGUCCUACUUGGACACGACUCCAUAUCCUGUCCACACACCGUACGACUCCAAGUCCAACUGUAACCUAACUUGUACAAUAAUAUUCGACACAACUCUAACAAACUCCACCUUGGCAAAUAUUCUCCACCACCUUGAAUUCGUCCGUGCGUCGAGCCUCCAUGUACAUUGGACUUGAGAUAUGCAAUGAGCACCGCUGCUACUCUCAGACUCCAUGUGACUCCACCUGCAACUGUAGUCCCUUCUCGUCUUCUUCACAGUCAACCCUCGAGCAAAAUUAAGUUCCUCAUUACUCUAUUUUGUGCUCCCAACUUCCGAGAUCCAUUCAACACUAUCACACACCGAUCACUGUCUGCGUGAAAAUGAACAACUCGCAUAUUGGAUGCCACAUAUAAGAGUUACCUGAACUCAAUGCCACCGCUCUUUCUUGACCGUCUAUCUGAAACUUGAAGGAAUUUCACCGUCGCCCUGUGUUACCCUGAGUCGAAUUCACAGUUGUCUCACCCUUUUCCCGGAUAGUCUCUGGCAUGUCCCACAGCUAUAGCACUCCGCCUCCUUCUGUCUUGUCAUCCGCACUUUGCCAUGUGCACUGAACACCACAGAAUAUACGGCCAUGUACUCUCUUUGUUUUGACAAUUCCAGACUUCCCGCCACUUUCUUAGAUUCUUCAUGGUCAACUCUUGUCCAUCAACCGACACCGAUAGACCCAGUCACCAACUCGAAUCUGGUACUCGUCAACACUGCUUCAGCACCCCCUGCACACUUUGUCUGACCACAUGUCUCACCAUUAGUGCCUUGGCCUGUUGCUGUGUCCCGUGCUUACCGCACGCCUCGCCGCUAUCACCGCGUCGAGCCUCUGCUGUCCUGGUCGAGUCUCCCAAGGUCGCGAACCCACACCACUGAGACCCCUACUGCAAAGAACCACCGAUCAUCACCGACCGAUGCCGAGUAUCACGUCUCCAUCAGACCACUGGUACCCAGUCUGAAACCACAUGUCUCUCGCUAUCCCGCUGAAAUAGGCUUCGACUCUCUGUUAACUUACGCCGUAGCCCCUCCAUCAGCACAGAGUGAAGUCGUCCAUCAGACUCCAGCUCCACCUUCAACAUGACUCCAUGUAGCUGGCCAUGCUACCCUCGCGCCCUGUCGACUUCAAGCUCUCUUGUGUGCACCGUCUUGAAUUAACCCUGCGCCAUAGUCUGUCGAAGCCGCACAAGCCCUCAGGUUUGCACCACGUGUUUCCACGUCCCAGAAGUCGGCCACCAUCAGCAUCACGCUCCUAUGCCGUUGUCGCUGAAAUCACCACCGUCUUCUGCUUUGACCGACAUCUCCGUCGAUCUGUCAGACAGUCCAGUCCGACCCAAUCGAAAAUAUCCGACUGCAAUCAUUCUCCACCCCGCGUCGUGUCCGCCUCACACACCUGUGCAUUGCCUUGACGCCAUGUGCAUGCAUGAUCCCUGCCACGACGAGCUCCAGACUCCUCCGAGCCAUAUACGCACGCCGCCAUCCUCGUCGCAUGUGCUCCAUCUUGAUCAACUUGGCAUUCCGCAAUUGACAUUGAUCUCUCAUGGAUAUGCGACUCCGCGUCCUUAUUUCCUGCAGUGCAUUGACCGCUGCCAUCAUGUAACACAGAGAAAACCCCAAAAACGACAUAUCAGUGGCAGCCUCCCGUGCCCAAACAUGGCACAAGCUGACCCUAAUUUCCUUUUUUUCUUUUUUCUCUCAAGCACCCGAUGGCAAGCACACCACAUGUGACGCCCUUUUUUCAAACAAAUCUCUUACGCCUUUGCACUUCUAGCAUCAGCCAUGCCACGCAUGCAUAUCUGACGCACAGUAGCUCACCUAGGCCUGCGCCUCGCUAGCGCUCCAGGCUCCAGCUGCGUCACCUGCCUUGCCCGCGCGCCCACCGCUCACGUGCACGUCGCGCUGGAGACCAGCUCCUGGAACGUGGAAACCACGGCCUUGGGCCUGCCUGGCACCGCUGGGCCUUGCGCCACAGAGUGGGCCGCCUGCCCUAGCCAUCUGCACGCUGCCGCCUCGCCAUCGAUCAAACUAAUCGAUCUGAAUGUGGCAGUGGAUGCUUCCGUGCACGACACAUACUACACCUUCCCCGAUCGAUUGAAUAGAUCUUCUCGCCACUGCCGUCCGCUAGGUCUAUCUGCUGCUAGCUGGAUGCAUCUCGUCGAGCGCCGCGUGCUCCCCAUCACUUUUACCUUGCCAAUAAUUCGUAAUCAUGUGUCACGCAGUCCGACUCGAUCGCUUCUGGACGGCUUUCAUGGCCGUACAUACGAUCCGAUCUUCAAUUGCUUCCACACGAUCAACAUGAAAUUUGCAACCUCUAGAUCAACAAACCGCAACCUCAAAUCAAACCUUGCUCAUGAUUCACUUGUUAGAAUAAAUCUGAGGCGCUCCGUUGACCUACCGAGGACCAAGCAAUCACACAAGCACGACACCGAGAUUUGUUAACGAGGUUCACCAUCAUGGCUACAUCCCCGGGGCCUGACUACGGGCGCUCCUCCCCGUAACACCGUCACAAUACCGCACCCCGGCUGCCCGGGCGCCGGCACACGCCGCCGGCUCCCCCGCGUGCCCGUGCUAUUAUAUUGGCAUAUGUUACAUCGUGUGUCUACCCCCGCUAUAUAUGAGAGGCCUAGGAUACAAGUGUCCUACUUGGACACGACUCCAUAUCCUGUCCACACACCGUACGACUCCAAGUCCAAUUGUAACCUAACUUGUACAAUAAUAUUCGACACAACUCUAACAAUGACCAAUAUGGAUCUUGGAGGGAAACCUUGCUGGACCCACCUGCCCUUAUCUUGUGUAGACUGCCAUGCACUGCAAUGGGUGUCUAUUGUAGUUCACUGAUAAAAGAAAAACCACCCAUGCCCAGCCGUUCUCCGUUUCAGCCUUCAAGAUGAAUCAUUUGGUUUAACCCAAUUGCUUCCUAAUGUGUACAGUGAAGUAUGAAGAAUUUCUAGUCCGUAAGCUUGACGGGGAGUUAUGCACUACCUUCUUUCGUAGUCUCCUGCAACGAGUAUUGAUCUGGAUGACAAGAUAUAUCAUGGAUCCACAAUGGAGGUACGCUUGUUAUUUUUCACAUUUCGCUCUAUGUUUCUUUCAUAAAGAAAGUACAUAUUUUUUGACAAAUGCACCAAUUAUAUUAAUAAAUGGUACCUUUUAUAUAUAAACAUUUACGGAUACAAGUUAGACAUAUUCAAUACAAAUGGAACAUUUUCCCAAUGCAUCGCAAAAAAAUUCAAAAAAUUAUGAAUUUUUCUGAAUACACCAUGUAAAAAAUUAAAUACAUGUUGAAUUUUUUUGUACAUGAUGAAGUUUUUCAAUUAAUGUUGAGCAUUUGCUAAAUAUACAUUCUAUUAUUUAUAAUACAUGAUAAACAUUAUUAAAUCCAAUAUGAAUAUAUUUUUUAACGUGCAAACACUUCAAUAAACUAAAUGGACACUUUUAAAAUCCGUGAACGUUUUAAAAAAAUAUGAACAUCUUUUACAAAUAUAUGGCCAUUUUAGUAUUUUAUGUCUCGGAAUAUUUUUCCAACACACAAUAUUUUUUAUAUGUUAUCGUUAAUUUGAUGUUAUGUAAAUUUUCAAGAUAAAUCAAUUGUACAUCUACAUUGUAUUUAAAAAGUUUCGAUGUAUGUUACAAUAUGUACUUUAUCCAAAAAACAGAGAAAGGUGUCAAAAAACAAAGAGAACUAAGAAAAUCUUGUAUUUGAGCCAGCCCAUGAGAGGCUUGCAUUAGCAACCUAAGGGAAAAUCCUAUUUGCCGCAUACCUUGGUGGAUAGCAAGCAAACGCGGUGGGAGUUGUAUGUCGCCAUACCUAUUUGUAUUACCACUCACUUAAAUAGCUGUCAUAUUUAGGCCAACCCAAUAUUGUACUUGUACGUGAGGUUUUUGCAGAAAAGUGGAUUCAUUCCAGAAAAGUUCCAGAAGAUGCUAAUGGUAAGCAAGAAGAUUGUUUACAAAGAAACAACAAAAAAAUUCAUAUUCUAAUACAUAAGAGUUAUAUAGGAAUCGAAAUAGUCUUUUAUUUUCUUUUUGAAAUAAAAAUGGAUUUCAUUGAUGUAAUAAAACUAUUCCAAUUCGAAUAAUAGUUGAGAAAGAAUCGCAAUAAAUGCAAAGAUGGAAUAUCUUGGAUACGGUAUUGAAGGAGUUGAACCAGGAUUUCCAAAUGGAUAGGAUUCAUUAUUGCACAUCAAUUUCUUAGGGGUUUCUUUGGUUGCUCAUGUACUUUUUUUCUUCAGUUUUAAGUUUUUUCUUUGCUUUUCACCGAUCUCCUUGCAUUUUUUUUUUACAAAAAAUGACUAAUUUUCCAUACACGCUGUCCAUGUUUUAUACUUCUUUACAAAACAUCAAAAGCACGAUUAAUAUUUUUUAACUAUGUGAUUUUUUAUAUUCUUUUUGGCACAUUGUGCAUUUUUGCACACAUCUAGGAUAUUUUUAUAUGUUUAAAAAAUUUAAAUACAUGAUUACGUUUUUUCAAAAACUUAGUUUUCACAUUUUCAAUACAUGUUACAAAAUUGAUAUACACGUCAAAAUAUAAUUUCAAGAUAUGUAACCUAUUUUUACAUUCAAUAAACACUUUUCAAAUGUCAGAAAUAACGUGUGACAUUUGUCGAAAUGCAGCAUACAUUUUUUCAAUGGUAUAAUUUUUUUGGUACUACACUAACAUGUUAUUUACAUAGUAUAGUUUUGUUUUACAAGUCACCUACAUUUUAAACACGAAAAAAUUCUGAAUGGUACAAAAAUUUUCUUGAAGUUGAGAGAACAUUUUUGACAAUACAUGUAUAUUUUCUUAAAAUUAGAAAUAUUUUUAUCAAAUGUGUGGAUAUUUUGUAAAUUAUACAAUCAGUUUAAAUAUGAGAACAUUUUUAGAAUUCAUGAACACUUUUGAAUUUCAGGAACAUUUGUAGAGUUUAUGAAUUAUUUGUUGGAUUUUUUAAUCAAGACUUGUUUUAUUAAUUCGUGAAUUGUUUUUGUCAAGUUCAUUUUUUCAAAGACAGGAACAUUUUUUGAAAUCCAAGAACUUUUGAAAAAUCAUGAACAAUUUCGGAAUUAAAAUAUUUUUGUGAACGUAAGACAAUUAUCAAAUAUAUAUAUUUUUUGAAAUCCAAGAACAUUAUCCAAAGUUGUGCACAAAUUUUGAGUUUAUGGAAAAAUUCAAAAUUUUCGUGAAUAUUUUUCAAAGUUCAAAAAGGAAAAACAAAAUAACCAAAGGAGAAAAAAAAGGAAAAUCACAGGCGCCCAUUUGACGUGGUCACUAAAAAAACUUGAAUGAGGUGGAAACUUGGCCCUUUCUCCUUGGCUGGAAAGAUAGAAUGGAAAUCAUUUUCUUUUUUCUAGAAAUAACCCUCUUUCAUGUUUAUCGAAUAACAAGUUUAGAAAUUUUAAAAAUGUUUUAUUUUCAAAAUUUGUUCAAUAUUGGAAUAAAGUUUUAUUUUCAUAACAUUGUUUGUAAUUACAAAAAGUCAACAUUUUUAAGUUUUGUUCAAAUAUGCAAUAAAAAUCUUUUUUAUAAAUACGUUCAGUUUUUUAAGUAAAAAAUCAGGAUUUUCAAAAAAUGAUCGCAUUUUUCAAAGAACUGUUCGUAAUUAAAAAAUGCAAACAAGAAACCCGUUGCCACAGUAUGAGCUGAGUCGAUAAACAAUGUGUCGCUACAAUAGGAAUCAUGGCACUAUAGUGUGAGAACCAAGUCAUCACUAUGUUUCACUAUCUAUAUGGUCUGGCCCAAUAGGGAGCUCCGUUGGGCGCCGCGCCUCUAUUGGACAUAGCGAGCAUCCAAUAGGAGUCCUCCAUUAGGGCAUGUUUAACCGAUCCCAUAUAGCUGGGUUACUUACCCUCUCGUUUAGGGUUUACCUACUCCGGCGGCGGCGACGCCGGCGUUGAGUCUUCGUCCCCUGCCUCCUUCGUGAUAGCCGAUGACGUCCGCACGGGCUCCCCGGCCUUGGCGUUAUGUUUUCGAUGGCUUUUUACGAGGGUGUCUAGGGUUUUAUUCUCGGUCCAGAUGGGAUCGGCUGCUGCGGAUCACCAUGGCUGGAGGAGCGAGUUCAGCUUCUGGAGCAGGAAAGAGAUACUUGGCAGCCACGACUCGUCGGCCGGACGUGCAAAAAGAGGCACUGGAUGGAGGUGAGGCUGCAUGCAAGGUGGAUCUGUUUUGGUACUUGCUGGAAUUUUUGUAUCCCGGAGAUGGAGAUCCUGGUGGAACAAGUGGUGUGGCCUCCCCCUCCAAAUCAACCACCUCUGAAGCUACAUCGGCGGCCUCCCUUGAGGAGGACCGCCGAGUCCAAUGAGUAUUAUGAGCUGGAACUGUCGCGGGAUUGGCAACGACGCGACAGUUCGAGAGCUACGCACGCUUGUGCAACGGUUUGCCCCCUCAGUGCUUUGCCUUCAAGAAACUCAAGUUGGAGGGUUGAGGGCUAGGAAUCUAGCUCAUUCUUUUGGUUUCAAUAGAAGUUAUACUGUAGGUAGUAGAGGAAGAAGUGGUGGUUUGGCAAUGUACUGGAAUGAUAAUUUAAAUCUAGAUCUUAUUCAUUUUUCACAGUAUCACAUUGACAUGAUAGUUAAGAAAGAUGAGGAACAACCAUGGCGGAUAACCUGCAUUUAUGGUGAAGCAAAUGUCAAUGAACGACAGAAGACUUGGGACCUGCUGAGGUUCCUCCGAAGUGAAUCCAACCUGCCCUGGGUAUGCAUUGGCGACUUCAACGAAGUACUAUCGGCAGACGAACAUUUUGGAGUUGGCGAAAGAAAUCCGAGGCAGAUGACGGGAUUCAGGGAAGCUGUUGAUGUCGCUGGUCUAUGCGACUUGGGUUUUAUUGGUCCUUCAUGGACUUUUGAAAAGAAAGUGAGGGGCGGGUCCUAUACACGGGUACGCCUUGACCGUGCCCUUGCAACGACCGACUGGUGGCUGCGUUUCAAUUCAGCAAGUGUCCGGCAUCUCACGACUGCCCGGUCAGACCAUAGCCCAAUUCUCUUGCAGCUAACUGAACCUACCCAGCAGAGAAGAGCACAAGAGAAGCACUUCAGAUAUGAACUGAUGUGGGAGACGCAUGAAGCUUUUACCCCUUUUAUUACAGAGGCGUGGUGCUCAGGUCAACCAUCCAGUUCUAUGCUUGCGUUGGGUAAUAAAUUAAACAGGAUCUCGGGGGAGUUAUUGGGCUGGAACAGCAGCGUGUUCGGUCAGGUAAAAAAGGAGAUAAAUAGACUACAAACUGAACUGGAAAGGCUUCGUUCGAUACCAGAUCGAGUGGGACCUUCAGAGGCAGAAGUCAAUAUUACUCAGAAGCUCACAGAAUGGUACCAUCGUGAGGAGAUCAUGCAAAAACAGCGUUCACGCAUCCAGUGGCUUUCGGCGGGAGAUAGUAAUACCCGAUUUUUUCAGCAGAAAGCGAGCAAAAGGAGAAAAAAGAACCGGAUAGAACGGCUCCAGUUGCCUGAUGGGUCUCUUUGUGAGGAUGUCGAACAGUUAAAGGUCCACUCUGUGAAUUUCUAUAAGGCAUUGUAUACUUCUGAACGUACAAUGGGUAUGGAGAGAGUGCUUUCCUGUGUCCCAAGGAAAGUAACACCAGAGAUGAACCUAUCACUAAACGCACCGUAUAAAGCGGAGGAAGUCAAGUUGGCAUUGUUCCAAAUGUUUCCGACCAAGGCGCCAGGACCUGACGGCUUUCCAGCACAUUUUUUUCAGCGUCAUUGGGACAUAUGUGGGGAAGAAGUGACUAAGGCAGUAUUGAAUAUUUUAAACGGAGUUGAAGAAAUUGGUGAGGCUAACCAAACUUUACUUGUUCUCAUUCCCAAAGUUUCAGAUGCAUCAUCUCUCACCCAAUUUAGGCCAAUUAGUUUGUGCAAUGUUAUUCUCAAAAUUGUUUCUAAAGUGCAAGCAAAUAGGCUAAAGCGGAUACUCCCAGAGAUAAUCUCUGAAGAGCAGUCUGCGUUCGUGCCAGGGAGGCUCAUCACAGACAAUAUUAUAACUGCAUAUGAGUGUUUGCAUUUUAUGAAGAAGAAGCGAGGCAGGAGCUCGCAAUUUUGCGCCUUGAAACUAGACAUGAUGAAAGCUUACGAUAGGGUGGAAUGGGACUAUCUCAAGGCCAUAAUGUUGAAGUUGGGUUUUAGCGACAGGUGGGUCGCUUCCAUAAUGAAAGUGGUGACAUCAGUAACUUUUUCGGUGUUGUUCAAUGGGGAGAGGACGGAGGUCUUUAAACCGUCUAGGGGGAUUCGUCAAGGAGACCCCAUCUCCCCAUAUUUGUUUUUACUAGCAGCUGAAGGUCUCUCUUGCCUUCUAAGGAGCAGGGGGAACUCGGAAAACCUAUCGGGCAUCCUUGUGGCGCCCACAGCACCCCCGGUCAAUCAUCUUUUAUUUGCAGACGACAGCCUGUUAUUCGCAAAAGCAAGCACCGAAGGAGCAACGUCAAUUAAAGAAGUGGUAGAGAUCUAUUGUCAGGCCUCGGGACAACGAAUUAACUUUGCAAAAAGUUCUAUUCACUUCAGCAAGGGAUGUCCAAACACUAUCAGAGAAAGUAUCAAGGUAAUCUUGGAUGUUCCUAAUGAAAGUUUGAAUGAGCGAUAUUUGGGUAUGCCCUCGGAUGUUGGAAGAAGCAAGAAUGGUACGUUUAAAUAUCUAAAGGACAGGGUGUGGAACAGGAUCCAAGGAUGGAUGGAGCAAAUCCUCUCGGCAGGGGGCAAAGAGGUGCUUAUAAAGUCAGUUGCACAGGCAGUUCCAACUUUUUCGAUGGCUUGCUUUAAACUGCCUAGAGGUCUAUGUGAGAAGUUAAAUUCGAUGAUAAGAAGCUUCUGGUGGGGAAGCAAGAAUGGCAAGCGGAAACCACACUGGGUCUCAUGGGACACUAUGACGAUGCCAAAAUAUAUGGGCGGACUGGGAUUCAAGGAUUUUGAAUUAUUCAACUUGGCCCUCCUAGCGCGCCAAGCAUGGCGCAUUCUCCAGUUUCCGGAGACCCUGAGUGCGCGUAUAAUUAAAGCAGUAUAUUUCCCUCUGUCAGAUAUCAUGGAAGCAUCGUUAGGCUCUUCUCCAUCUCAAGUGUGGAGAGCCAUAGUUGAAGGACGAGACAUGCUAAAGCUUGGUUUGAUCAGGAGAAUAGGCAAUGGUGCAGCAACGAAAAUAUGGGGAGAUAAUUGGAUACCGAGGACCCAAAGGCUCAGACCAAUGGCAGCCCUAGUAUCAGACACACCAGAACUUGUGGCCGAACUAAUUGACCCGACUUCUUGCCAGUGGAAUAUGGCAGAGUUAGAGAGAGUUUUCUUGCCCAUGGACGUACAAGCUAUUCGCGCCAUUCCGAUCAGCACGUCAUCGCAGACUGAUUUCUGGGCAUGGCAUCACGAAAAGUCUGGUAACUUCACUGUCCGUUCAGCGUACAGAAUGAUGGUAACAACGAAAAAAGUUAGGGAAGAUUGGCUUGAAGGCAGACCAAGCACUAGUUCGAACAGGGCGGAAAAGGCAUGGUCACAACUAUGGAAGAUCAAGGUACCAUCUAAAGUGCGAGUCAUUGUUUGGCGGCUCGCACAACACUCUUUCCCUUCGGGCUCAGAGAUGCAUCAUCGGAAAAUGACCACUAGCCCUCGAUGUGUUAUUUGUCAAGCAGAGAAUGACUCUUGGAGACAUUCGUUAAUAGAUUGUACCAUGUCACGUUGUGUUUGAGCAUUACUUGAUGAAUCCCUCAUAGAGCACAUGUGCAUGAAUUCUUGCUCGGAUGCGAAGGAGUGGCUGUUCCACAUGAUGGAGACUACAACACAUGAAGAAUUCAUCAAAAUUUUAUUGACACUUUGGGCGAUCUGGGGUGCGCGCCGAAAGGCAAUUCAUGAAUCUAUCUACCAAAGCCCGGUGACUAUUCAUGGUUUUGUUACCAGUCUCAUUGCCGACCUUCAAAUGGUGAACACAAAACUGGAUAAAGCUGCUCCAAAUCUACAAGCAGCAGCGCCGAGAUGGAGGCCACCGCCGGAGGGCUGGGCCAAAAUUUAUGUUGAUGGUGGUACAAACAAGAUAGGAUCAAAGGGAGCAGCUGCCGUCAUAUGCAGGAAUGAUACAGGGAAGUACCUGGGGUCUUCAGCGAGGGUAUUGAACAAUUGCACCGACCCAGCAACUCUUGAAGCAAUAGCAUGCUGUGAAGCGCUGACUUUGGCGGAGGAUUUAAACAUUCAGAAAGUUAUUAUCGCAUGUGAUGCUUCCACAGUUAUCAAGAACAUCAAUGAAGGUAGUAGAUGCGAGUAUAGUUCGGUUCUUACGGAGAUUAAGGUGCGAUCGAGACAUUUUCUUAAUGUUAAUUUUGUGCACGAGGGUAGAGCAACAAACAUAGAAGCUCACAAUCUUGUGAAAAGUGUUUUAUCACUCGAACAUGGUCGAUUUCUAUGGCUACUCCAGCCAUGGGAUCCCUCUAUUGUACUUCCUGUUAUAGAGCAAUAAAAUGACCGUGUGAUCCUCAAAAAAAAAAAAAAAACGAUCCCAUAUAGCUGGUUAGUGGAGUAAAAUACCGACACCUAACCGAUGCCUCUUCUACCCCGAGGGAGUAAAAUUUUACUCCUCUCUCGAAAAGUCUCCCUAUAUUUACUUUAUCUUUUGGCGAUUGAGUAAAAGUUUUCUUUGUGUGAAGGCCUCCUAGUGGCCAGUAGGCGACUCACGUGAAGCUCCCAUGAUCUCACCGGUGACCUCGUCGGCGACCUUGCCAUCUCGGCAGAAGUUGAGAUGCCUCGCGUUGGGUUGUGGCAUGGCUGCGGCGGCCAAGGCACGGCAAGGUGAGCAACUGCACCGGCUGCGCUGGUCGUCGUCACUGGCGGCCAUGGAGGAGACGAGCAGGGCAACGGCUAGCAGAAGGCCCAAGCCAGUCUGGAACCAGUCCAUGAUCUCGCGGAGCAUGCCGACAUUGAACACUAGCCUGCCCUCGACGACCCUCACCACCGCCUGGAUAGCAUCGCUACCAUGAGGAGAGCAACUGCCGGUGCUCGCGCUCCGAGCCUGGCCGCCAUUCUUUCUCUGGAAGCAGGUGAAGAAGAAUACACCUUAGCUGCGCACGUACGCAUGUCUAUGACUAUGUGCGAUCAUUAUGUAUUCUAAUGCUUCGUUUGCUGUUGGGUUGUGGCCCGGGCUUGUUAUAUAGGGAUCGAGAUUGCUGGGCUAGCUCUUCGGCUUUGACCGUUGGAAACUUGGAAAUUUUGAGUGGUUGGAGGCUUGAAAAAUCAGCAGCCGCAGCUAGCGGCAGC
rnacentral:lncRNA from 1 species